UACGAAGGGGGCUAGCGUUGUUCGGAAUCACUGGGCGUAAAGCGCACGCAGGCGGAUUGAUAAGUCGGGGGUGAAAUCCCGGGGCUCAACCUCGGAAUUGCCUUCGAUACUGUCUGUCUUGAGUCCGGGAGAGGUGAGUGGAAUUCCUAGUGUAGAGGUGAAAUUCGUAGAUAUUAGGAAGAACACCAGUGGCGAAAGCGACUUCCUGGACCAAUACUGACGCUCAUGUGCGAAAGCGUGGGGAGCAAACAGG
rnacentral:rRNA from 1 species